rnacentral:rRNA from 1 species
GACGAACGCUGGCGGCGUGCCUAAUACAUGCAAGUUGAGCGCUGAAGGUUGGUACUUGUACCAACUGGAUGAGCAGCGAACGGGUGAGUAACGCGUGGGGAAUCUGCCUUUGAGCGGGGGACAACAUUUGGAAACGAAUGCUAAUACCGCAUAAAAACUUUAAACACAAGUUUUAAGUUUGAAAGAUGCAAUUGCAUCACUCAAAGAUGAUCCCGCGUUGUAUUAGCUAGUUGGUGAGGUAAAGGCUCACCAAGGCGAUGAUACAUAGCCGACCUGAGAGGGUGAUCGGCCACCUUGGGACUGAGACACGGCCCAAACUCCUACGGGAGGCAGCAGUAGGGAAUCUUCGGCAAUGGACGAAAGUCUGACCGAGCAACGCCGCGUGAGUGAAGGAGGUUUUCGGAUCGUAAAACUCUGUUGGUAGAGAAGAACGUUGGUGAGAGUGGAAAGCUCAUCAAGUGACGGUAACUACCCAGAAAGGGUCGGCUAACUACGUG